UAGCGAGGCUCCGAGUGGUGAGAAAGCGGAGCUUUGCUUUUGCCCGGGAAGGAAAUGCAGAAGUUCACGAUCUGUGAUUUUGAGGAAACCGAAGCACAGAGCCGAGGAGCCUGAAUAAAGAUGGAGGGACAGGACACAACUACUUUGCCGACAGCAGACCUCUCCUCCACUGGCCCAGCUUGGCCCCAGGAAGGGUGCUUCCCCAACUUGGACUGGCCCCUGGCCCUGCUUGAGGCUUGAGCUCCCUUGCUCUUUGGAAUUUUCCCUCCACACGCCCCAGCCUCAUCAAAGUCUGCCCUCUACUGUUCACUGCCUAAAACUGAUGUGACUCUGUUAAUCUCCAA